rnacentral:tmRNA from 1 species
GGGGCCGAUCGGUUUCGACACUGUCUUGACGAGUGUGAGAAGCGGGCCGAGAAGGCGUGGAUGAUCUCGUAAACCAAGCCACGCAACCCAACAGGUGCCAACAACAAACGCACCGAUUUCGCCCUCGCUGCGUAAAGCGAGUUCGAGAUCCGUUCUCCUGAGCGCGUCCUCGUCUCAGAUCUGAACGUCAUUUAGAGGACUAGCCGUCGCGUCAGGUGGGAGGGCGCGGCGGGACACUGCAGACCCACUGGGCCCGUCAGCCAGGUGCCUGUCACGAUGGCUGGGGCCGAGCAGAACGCCAGACGGGCUACGCCCGUAGAAGUCACACGAGCCGAGCAGUGGACCCGGGUUCGAUUCCCGGCGGCUCCACAG